ACGCUCGACACCUACGGGAGACAGCAGUGGGGAAUAUUGCACAAUGGGGGAAACCCUGAUGCAGCGACGCCGCGUGGAGGAAGAAGGUCUUCGGAUUGUAAACUCCUGUUGUUGGGGAAAAAGAGGAUGGUACCCAACAAGGAAGUGACGGCUAACUACGUGCCGCAGCCGCGGUAAUCUGAGCGGGCUGGCAAGGC
rnacentral:rRNA from 1 species